GAUGAACGCUGGCGGCGUGCUUAACACAUGCAAGUCGAACGUGAGAGGUAGCAAUAUCUUGAAAGUGGCGAACGGGUGAGUAACACGUAGGUGACCUGCCUCGGAGCGGGGGAUAACAGUUAGAAAUGACUGCUAAAUACCGCAUGAAUCCACUGGGAUGGGAAGAAUGGAGGAGAAAACUCUGGUGCUUCGAGAGGGGCCUGCGGUCGAUUAGCUAGUUGGUGGGGUAAAGGCCUACCAAGGCGACGAUCGAUAGCUGGUCUGAGAGGACGAUCAGCCACACGGGAACUGAGACACGGUCCCGACUCCUACGGGGGGCAGCAGUGAGGAAUAUUGGGCAAUGGGCGGAAGCCUGACCCAGCAACGCCGCGUGGAGGAAUG
rnacentral:rRNA from 1 species